ACACAAUGGAAGAGCCCAAGUGUGACCCGGGUAAUCCUGGCUCCAGAGCCUGCUCCUUAGCAAUGGCCUCCAGUCCUGACAGCUCCACUGUCAUCUUGGGGCAAAGUGCAAUUGCUGGGGAAGAACAUCCCAGAGGUUCAAUUCUGCGGGAAGUGCACCUCAAGUUCCUGCUGACGGGACUGCUUUCAGGACUGCCCGCACCACAGUUUGCUAUUCGUAUGUGUCCACCGUUGACCACAAAAAACAUCAAGAUGUAUCAGCCACUGCUGGCUGUUGGUACAAGUAAUGGUUCUGUCCUGGUGUACCAUCUCACCAGUGGUCUGCUACACAAAGAGUUAAGCAUCCACUCAUGUGAAGUCAAGGGUAUUGAAUGGACAAGUUUGACUAGUUUUCUUUCUUUUGCUACCUCAACACCAAACAAUAUGGGAUUAGUGAGAAAUGAACUUCAACUGGUUGAUCUUCCAACAGGUAGGAGCAUUGCUUUUCGUGGUGAAAGAGGCAAUGAUGAAUCUGCCAUCGAAAUGAUUAAAGUAUCUCAUUUGAAGCAGUAUUUGGCAGUCGUAUUCAGAG
rnacentral:sRNA from 1 species